rnacentral:rRNA from 1 species
GAUGAACGCUAGCGGCAGGCCUAAUACAUGCAAGUCGAACGGUGUCUUCGGACAUAGUGGCGCACGGGUGCGUAACACGUAUGCAACCUACCUUAAAUUGGGGGAUAGCCUUUCGAAAGGGAGAUUAAUACCGCAUAAGACAGUAGCUGGGCAGCCAGCAGCUGUUAAAGACUUAUCGAUGUAAGCUGGGCAUGGCGCCAAUUAGCUAGUUGGUGAGGUAACGGCUCAUCAAGGCAAUGAUUGGUAGGGGAACUGAGAGGUCAAUCCCCCACACUGGCACUGAGAUACGGGCCAGACCCCUACGGGAGGCAGCAGUAGGGAAUAUUGGGCAAUGGACGCAAGUCUGACCCAGCCAUGCCGCGUGCAGGAUGAAGGCGUUAUGCGUUGUAAACUGCUUUUAUACAGGAAGAAACGACUCUUGCGAGAGGCAUUGACGGUACUGUAUGAAUAAGCACCGGCUAACUCCGUGCCAGCCGCCGCCGUAACAC